GGCAUAGGCAUAGGCAUAGGCAUAUGACCAUUACUACUAUGACCAUUACCACUGUGUCCAUUACCACCGGACUGCUGCAAACUCUGUGGCACAGGCGUAGAAGCGAACAAAUGAUCAGACGAAGAAGGUCCCUCAUUCGACAACCCUUGCAUUCUCUUCAAAUACAACCUAUACUUCUGUAAAUGACUAGCAACAUUUUCCCUCGUCAGUCCUUCCACAUUCAUCAGCUGCAUAAUCGUCUUCGGCACAGCAUUUUUAAUCCCUAAAUGCGCCACAACAUCCACAAAUCGCUUAUGCAGCUGUGGCGUCCAGACUAACCGCGGCCGUUUCAGCGUCUUAGCUGAAUUAUCAUCUCCACAAUUCUCAUUCCUCAAUGCCGAAUCAGCCUCUUCAGUAACCAUCUCCGGGUCAAGCCUCCGUGUCUUCCUCGACUCGGAUCCAUCUCUCGUCAGAUCCAUCUCAUCAUUCUCAUGAUUUCUAUCUCCAUUCCUUCCUUCAUUAAAAUUAUACUUCUCCGACAACAUAUGUAACUGUCCAGCACGUAGAGACGAAAACGUACUCUCCGAAGCACGAUUCACAUCCGUCAUCGUCUUCGCCGGCUCCGGCGUAAUUCUAAACGCCGACGCUAACUCCGGCGGGAUUAAAACCUGAGAUAAC
rnacentral:misc_RNA from 1 species